UUUCAGGGAGUCUGCUGAGGAGAGUGAAGGGAGACAGAGAAGAUCCUUGAGAGCAAAUAGAAAUGAAGUACAUCUUGAUCGGAGGUGGGAUCGGCCUGUUCCUCACUGCCGUGUUUAUCAUCGUGAAGAUCUACAUCAUCAGGAAGCACAUUUGUGAAAACAACACAGAGAAGAGGAAUAAGAGGAAGCCGAACUUGGUCUCUCUGAGUCAUCUCAGCCAAUCAGAGCAUCCCGUGGUGGCGGCGGUGUCCAAUGACAUGCAGUGUUAAAGGUCGCGCGGAGUGCAGAGGGGGCGUGAAGGGUCAGCCAUGCAGCCCCACGUCUACUCUUAUUUUGCUGCACAGUCAUCAACGUUGAGCAGUUUCAUACCUUCUACCUCUCAAACAAUACUGUAUAUUUCACUUUGGCUAUCGUGUGAAAUGCUGGAAGAGAAUCGUUCACAUUGUUUGUAACCAUGAAGUACUUUUUUGUUUUAAAAAAAUGCAAUAAAUGAAGAAUGAAAGAAA